CCUCACCAAAGUUCAUUUGUGAAACUCGCCUUAUGGCUGGGAGUUGUUUUGCAAAGCACAGAAUUUUAAACUUAUGGAGCAUUGUUAGACACCUUGGUCUAACAAAUUCUCCAAAUCCUUUCUGAGAUUUCCAGGGCAAGAUUUAAAGCUGAGUAAAUUUUGUGGCAGAUCUGCACUUGAUAGCAAGUUCAGAAUCUUGUUUGCUUAUAUGGACCAUGGUGAUUUAUAUCAGCUCAGGUUGUGUUUGUAUGGACUAGGGUGAUUUACAUCAGCUGAGGUGAUGUUUGUAGGGACUGAUGAUUUAGAUGAGGUGAUGGUCUGCUGCAGGUGGCUGGAGAUCCUGAGGUGAAAAAAGGGUCUGGGGGAUGGAGUAGAGAGGAGGAAAAGUUUAACAGUUUUUAAAGUGGGUGCCUUUAGCCAGUUCUGCUUUCUUUAGUCCAAAAAUCUCAAAUGUCAUCUCUUCCCUCAUAUGGCUAAAGAAAAGAGCAUUUGGCCUUCUGGUGCUUUGAAGAAAUCCUGUUUCUGCCUGAGUAAAAGUUCUCACCAGUGAGAAGGACGUCCUCUGACUCAUCAGCACCUGAGAGGUUUGGCUCCAGGAGAAAGGGGUGAAAACCAGCAAUUCAUAAACUCUUCAGUAGCAGCAGACAGAGAUUUGGAUAGCUGGGCAUAGAGGAGGAGCUGAGGAGGAUGAAGGUCAAUGUGCCUUUACCAUAAAAAUCCUCACUGGGUGCCCCAUCUGGGUGCAGAAGGACACUGAUGGCAUGGCAAGGCAGCUUGGUGUGUGGCAUUAAGUGUCUUUUCUUUCCUGCUCUCUCAGAUUUCCUGUGGAAAAUACCAACCCAGAUUUUUUCUUUGUUUCUGGGUCUCUGACAGAAAACAAUCACCAUUCCAGUUCCAUAACCAGUAAGAUUCCACAAGGUUUCCAAGGGGCUCUGAAGGAGAAUGUGCUCAAUGAAAAUGAGAAGGUGCAUCAUGGAACAGCCAGAGACAGCAGCCUCUGAAAGCUCCUCUUUUUCUCCACAAUGUCAGCUCCUAAAUUGCUCAUGAAAAAUCCCGUUAUGUAACUGAAAACUCUUUGUAAGGAAAGAUUUCAGCAUAAUGAGGAGCCUGCUCACAACAAUAGAGGUGAUGGACCUGACACUUCAUCAUUUCUUAUUAUGCUGUUGGAGCAGCUUCACGUCUGAGUUAUCUUUGCCUUGUUUGCUCCCCCUUUCUUAGAUUGCCAUUGAGUCAAAAUGAAAAAGGGAAGAAAAAUCAGGCAGAAGGGCUCUAAGGUUGUGUGUGUCUUUAAAGAGAUUGUAUUUACGUGAGUGGGUGGGAAAUAGUUAUUUUUUUCAUUGCAUGUGGUUUUAUUUAAUACUGGAGAAACAAUUGAGUGGGAAUGGCAAGAACAGAAUGGCUUUGCUCCACUGCUCAAAUCAUGAGCAGUGGAAAGGAGCACGAAGUGGGAAUUCCAUGUCCUCCCUACAGGAAGCUAGGUGCUGUUUCAGAAGUAGAAACUUUCACCAGGAAGAUAUAUUGACAUUUCAAUUAUUACCCUGGUAUGCUCUCCUAAUGCACCAAACAGCAGAUAUUAUUUAUAAACCUUUUAAUGGAAAUAACUGGAGCCACUUCAUUAUUUCAAUGAGCUCUUAAAAUGUUGAUGAGUAGUGUGAUGUUUUUACAUAAUAAUACCAUUAAAAAUUA